rnacentral:rRNA from 1 species
UACAGAGGGGGCAAGCGUUAUUCGGAAUUAUUGGGCGUAAAGGGCGCGUAGGCGGCCUGGCAAGUGGAAGGUGAAAUCCCUCGGCUUAACCGAGGAACUGCCCUCCAAACUGCUUGGCUUGAGUCCGGGAGAGGUGAGUGGAAUUCCCAGUGUAGCGGUGAAAUGCGUAGAUAUUGGGAGGAACACCAGUGGCGAAGGCGGCUCACUGGACCGGAACUGACGCUGAGGCGGCGAAAAGCGGUGGGGAGCAAACGGG